GAAGAGCUCGGUGAAAAUACAAUGCCGGUGAAGAUGCCGGCUACCUGCAGUUAGACGAAAAGACCCCGGGAGCUUUACUGUAGCUUGAUAUUGGGUCUAGGUUUUUGUUGCGUAGCAUAGGUGGGAGAGGUUGAUCCCCGGUUUCCGGAUCGGGGGGACUCGUCAGUGAAAUACCACUCUUUAAAAACUUAGAUUCUAACCAAUCCGAUACCUAAAAAUGGAAAGCGGAUUGAGACAGUGUCUGGCGGGCAGUUUGUUUGGGGCGAAACCCUUACCAAAAAGUAACGGAGGGGCUUAAAGGUUGGCUUAGGACGAAUGGAAACCGUCCAUGACGUGUAAAGGCACAAGCCAGCUUAACUCUAAGGCGGACAUGCCGAGGAGAUACGAAAGUAUAACUUAGUGAUCCGAUGGCUAUAGUACUUAUUUACAUUCAGGGGUAACUCUGAAUGUGAGUAUGUAUUUCUUACUAGAAUAAGGCCAAAGCUCAACGGAUAAAAGCUACCCCGGGGAUAACAGGCUAGUCGCUUCCAAGAGUCCAUAUCGACGAAGCGGAUCGGCACCUCGAUGUCGGCUCACCCUAUCCUGGGACUGGAGAAGGCCCCAAAGGUUUGGCUGUUCGCCAAUUAAAAGGGUACGCGAGCUGGGUUCAAACCGUUAAGAAGACAUGCGUGAGACAGGUUGGUCUCCUAUCUACUGCAGGCGCAAGAUACUUGAGAGGAGUCGUCCUUUGUACGAGAGGAUCAGGAUGAACGAACCUCUGGUCUAUCGGCUGUUCCGCCAGGAGCACUGCCGAGUAGCUAUGUUCGGAAGGGAUAACCGCUGAAAGCAUCUAAGUGGGAAGCCCACCUCAAGAUAAGGUAUCAUAGAUCCGUGAGAGAUGAUCACGUUGAUAGGCCGUAGGUGUACGCGCAGUAAUGCGUUCAGCCGAGCGGUACUAAUAGAUCA
rnacentral:rRNA from 1 species